CCUACGGGAGGCAGCAGUGGGGGAUAUUGCACAAUGGGGGAAACCCUGAUGCAGCGACGCCGCGUGUGGGAAGACGGUCCUCUGGAUUGUAAACCACUGUCCCCAGGGACGAAGAUGCCCGUACCUGGGGAGGAAGCUCCGGCUAACUACGUGCCAGCAGCCGCGGUAAUACGUAGGGGGCGAGCGUUGUCCGGAAUUACUGGGUGUAAAGGGAGCGUAGGCGGGGAUGCAAGGUGGGUGUAAAAACUACCGGCUCAACUGGUAGUCGCACUCAAAACUGGAGCUCUUGAGUGAAGGAGAGGCAGGCGGAAUUCCUAGUGUAGCGGUGAAAUGCGUAGAUAUUGCGCAGAACCCCGAUUGCGAAGGCAGCGUACCGGCUCCACACUGACGCUGAGGCACGAAAGCGUGGGUAUCGAACAGGAUUAGAUACCCUUGUAGUC
rnacentral:rRNA from 1 species